UACCUUAUUCUACAGCCUGCCAUCUCUCUUUACUGACCUCAUGCAUUCCAGCCAUUUAAUCCAGGGUGACAAAGAAUUACUUAUUUCUCCAGAAACCUUGGCAUUUUGAGACUUACGAAACAAACUGAGUCCUGGAGUCUGCAGAGAUCUAAACCCGUAGGUGUAAUUCAUGUCUCUAGAGGACCAGCAAUGCAGAAUUGAAGACAGGACACUGCAUGAUUGGAAGUUUUUUGAAGAAAAUUAAAGGAAACAAUUCACUAAGCUUCUGUUCU